rnacentral:lncRNA from 1 species
UAGCCUAGCAGUUCUGUAGUUGCACUAUGCUCUUAACCUUUACCACCCACUGAACAGAAUCUAGAAGCUCCCUGCUGGACAUGAGUCGGCUCGAUCUUGAUCUUUGCUGAUGGUUGUAGUCAAAGUAAAUACUUUUUCUGAAAUCAGUGUGUACCCAACACUUUUUCUGAAAGCAAUGUUUUUUGUUUUCAGACACACCAAUUCAAUUAUGCUGACUUUUGUAUCGCUGUCAUUAUUU